UACGGGGGGAGCAAGCGUUGUUCGGAUUUACUGGGCGUAAAGGGCGCGUAGGCGGCCAGCGCAAGUCAGUUGUGAAAUCUCCGGGCUUAACUCGGAAAGGUCAACUGAUACUGCGCGGCUAGAGUGCAGAAGGGGCAACUGGAAUUCUCGGUGUAGCGGUGAAAUGCGUAGAUAUCGAGAGGAACACCUGCGGCGAAGGCGGGUUGCUGGGCUGACACUGACGCUGAUGCGCGAAAGCCAGGGGAGCAAACGGG
rnacentral:rRNA from 1 species